rnacentral:rRNA from 1 species
CCCUUAGAUGUUCUGGGCCGCACGCGUGCUACACUGAGUAAUUCAAUGGGUAAGGGAACGCUAGAGCAUUACCUAAUCUUGAAAUUUGCUCGUGAUGGGGAUCGACGGUUGCAAUUUUCCGUCGUGAACGAGGAAUACCUUGUAGGCGCAUGUCAUCAUCAUGCGCUGAAUACGUCCCUGCCCUUUGUACACACCGCCCGUCGCUCCUACCGAUUGAGUGAUCCGGUGAGGCUCUGGGACCUGGACGGAAAGAGCGUUUCGCUUGUUCUGUUUGGGAAACUUGGUCGAACCUUAUCAUUUAGAGGAAGGAGAAGUCGUAACA